CGUGCUUAACACAUGCAAGUCGAACGAUGAACCACUUCGGUGGGGAUUAGUGGCGAACGGGUGAGUAACACGUGGGCAAUCUGCCCUGCACUCUGGGACAAGCCCUGGAAACGGGGUCUAAUACCGGAUACUGACCCGCUUGGGCAUCCAAGCGGUUCGAAAGCUCCGGCGGUGCAGGAUGAGCCCGCGGCCUAUCAGCUUGUUGGUGAGGUAAUGGCUCACCAAGGCGACGACGGGUAGCCGGCCUGAGAGGGCGACCGGCCACACUGGGACUGAGACACGGCCCAGACUCCUACGGGAGGCAGCAGUGGGGAAUAUUGCACAAUGGGCGAAAGCCUGAUGCAGCGACGCCGCGUGAGGGAUGACGGCCUUCGGGUUGUAAACCUCUUUCAGCAGGGAA
rnacentral:rRNA from 1 species